rnacentral:lncRNA from 1 species
GCAACCUUGACCUCCUACCUCUGCCCUGUGCCCUUGGCCUUCGAGUGUCUCCCUGAGUCUCACCUUGAGGCCUCCCCAGCCCCUUCCCACCUGCUGCCUUCCCCUGCACAGGCCCUCAGUUCCAUCUGAGCCCUUGGUGGUACAAAGGGGAGUCUCCCUCUCUAGGCCCCAGCAGUUAUAUCUGUCCCUAUUUCCCACAUCCCAGAUGGGUGGCCCGUAGCCUCUGAAGGAAGUUAGCCUAGAGAGCCAGGCCCCGGGUAGGAGGCACAAAAAAAGGAGGUGAGGCCCUGAGAUAACCAGGAAGAUCUGGGUUUGGGCUCCAGCUCUGGCAAGCUGCUUCCUUUCUCUGAGCCUCAGUCUCUGCAUCUGUAAAAUGGGGAUCCCAGGACUUAUCCCACAUGGUGAUUGUAAGACACAAGAGUAUAAAAGAGCCUUGAGAACUGGGCAAUGUCAAGGUCAAUGACUGUUUUGUUUUGUUUUACUUUAUUUUAUUUUAUUUUANNNNNNNNNNNNNNNNNNNNNNNNNNNNNNNNNNNNNNNNNNNAAGCUAGAGUGCAGUGGCGUGAUCUCAGCUCACUGUAGCCUCAACCUUCUAGGCUCAAGCAAUCCUUCCACCUCAGCCUCCUACGUAGUGGGGCCACAGGUGGAUGCCACCACACCUAGCUAAUUUUUUUUUUAAUUUUUUGUAGAGACAAAGUCUCACUGUGUUACCCAGGUUGGUCGCAAACUGCUGGGCUCAAGCAAUCUGCCCGCCUCGACUCCCAAAGUGCUGGGAUUACAAGCAUGAGCACCCGGCUGAAGGGUACAUGAUUUCUAUUAAUAACUUGUAUUUGACUUCUUGCUGUUGAUAUUAACCUCCAUCACCUGGGCAAUCUGUUAUUUUCACUGAGUUUACAGCAGGGCUAGAGUAACAACAAAUGUUGGCUGAACAAAGGCCAAGACUGGAAAAUCUGGAUGAGGGCAGAAGCAAAUGGGAGGGGUGGUGAGGAAGACAAGGAGAAGCAAGCAGAAAGAGGUGGCCUGUGCAGGAUGUCCCUUUGGUGUGGUUCACGCAGGCCUGGGCUGCUGGAUGCCAGGCAGUUCAUGUUCUAGCUUACUCGGUAUUUACAAUGGCCCUUUUACGGAUGAAGAAACUGAGACCUGAGGGUGAAAAUAACAUGUCCAAGGUCACAUGAGCCAGGAAACCUGUGAGUGGGCUCAGGUCUGUCUUAACUGCCUGAUAAAUGUUGUUUCUAACUCUGUUCCACAAAGGAUUCAUGAUAGGUUAUAAAUAAAAUACAUUCAGUAAAACGACAUGCAAUACCAAAUGGAAAAUCAGAAUCACGGAAAACAGAGUGGAAAAUGUGGACAAGGAAAAAGCUGAACCUAAAGGCCAAGAAAGUGCCCAUAGGCGAGUUUCUGAUUUGGCUCUGAGUUUCCUGGCAGCCAAAGAAAAAAGAGACACAAGCUGAUUCCUGUUAUUAAAAAGUAAAGAAGCAGUUUACACUUUCAGGAACUUCAUAGUAAAUUUAAAAAUAAGUUAAUCACAUGGAAAUUUCUCUGGUGAAAAAUACUGGGAAAUAUAAUGGAUAAUGUAAUAAUAAUAAAUGUCAAGUGGCAUAUCUUUAGAAAUGAUAGCCAUAUUUUUCUAUCUUAUCCCUUGCCCAAAGUUGUCUUACUUGGGUUUGUUUUUGUUUUUGUUUUUGUUUUUGUUUUUUUGAGACAGGGUUUUGCUGUGUUUCCGAGGCUGGUCUUGAACUCCUGGCCUCAAACAAUCCUCCGGCCUGGGUCUCCCAAAGUGCUGGGAUUGCAGGCAUGAGUCACCAUGCCCAGCCAAGCACUUUAUCUAUAUUAACUCAUUUAAGUGUCACCACAGUCCUAUGAGGGAGGUACUAUUGUUAUCAUCAUCCUCCUCAUUUGACAGAUAUAUAAGUGUUUAGCUACCAGAUAAUAUGAGUGUGUUUUAGAUGACAUGUAAAGAUUUAACAGAUCCCAGCCAAUUACCAGCACCAAAAGUAGUAAUUGAUGGGGACUUCGGCCACAAAGGGCAGCGUCUCUAAGGAGCUGAGGCUUAGAGACAAUGUGAAAGUAGCUGUGGAGGGUGUGGCUCAGUCCCAGGCCUCAGAAUUUCACAUGUGGGGCUUCCCUUUUCCACCUCAUCACCCAAGAUGCCUUAACGAUCCCCCGCCUUUGGCCAACCAAACGCAAGAGCCAUAUGAGUGACUAAUGUCGUCUGGGCAAAGGGGGUCAUGCCCAGGUGCUACCAGGCCAGGAGGCUUUUGUCGCCAGAAACCUGUGCAUGUUUAUAUUUCUCGUUUCUGCUCACCGCAGG